CUACGGGUCAAACAUAUACCGUACUCUAGAGAGUCUCUCUCUAAGCCAAAAGAUUUUCACGCUCUCUCUCUCUCAGUCUUUAUGUUUAUCAGAUUUCAAGCCACAAAGAAAAACUUUUGAAAAGUUUAGUGCGCUAUUGAUGGAAAAUCAACCAAGUAGCUGAAGGUAUUUUUCGAAUUGAUGGAAAGUCACCCACCUACAAAGGUGCAUCAUAAGAUUCCAUCUCAACAAUCACUUGUGGAAGCACCUUUUGUUUCAUCACAACCACUUCCAUCACCUCUAAAUUUCUCACAAGAAAUUCCUCCAUUUCAAAUAAUUUCUCAACCUAUUGGAUCAUUAUCAGCUUCCUUCUCCAUCAUUUACACUGAUCCUGUAACUAGGAGGCCAAGGAAGCAAGUUGCAUUCAGAAAUCCUAAGAAUUCUAUGUCAACUGAGAAUGCAAGCAAGCCUAUUUGGAGACCUUAAAAGUGUCGUGUGGGUGUGUGUUGUUUUUUUUUCUAGAAUCUUCAGGUUCUUUGAUCAUAAUAGGGCAUUUUGUGAUAACUCUUUGAACAAUUAGGAUUGAAUAUUUUCUGAAAAUUUGACAGGUCAUUUUGGAACAGUAAUGUUUUAUGUUAGUAUGGAAUGCUUAUGUAAUUUGUAGUUGGGAUAUGUAGUUUUAAACUAUGUUAGCUUUACCGUUAUUCUAAGCAUUUACAUGAC